AGAGUUUGAUCAUGGCUCAGGACGAACGCUGGCGGCGCGCUUAACACAUGCAAGUCGAGCGAGAACCGGGGCUUCGGCUCCGGGGACAGCGGCGAACGGGUGAGUAACACGUGGAUAACCUGCCCUCGGCACCGGGAUAGCCCGGGGAAACCCGGAUUAAUACCGGAUGGCCCUUCCGGCUUUCGAGCCGGUCGGAAAAGGUAGCUUCGGCCUCCGGCCGAGGAUGGGUCCGCGGCGGAUUAGCUUGUUGGUGGGGUAACGGCCUACCAAGGCUUCGAUCCGUAGCUGGUCUGAGAGGACGAUCAGCCACACUGGGACUGAGACACGGCCCAGACUCCUACGGGAGGCAGCAGUGGGGAAUCUUGCGCAAUGGGCGAAAGCCUGACGCAGCGACGCCGCGUGAGGGAGGAAGGCCUUCGGGUUGUAAACCUCUUUCAGGAGGGACGAAGCUACUCGGGUUAAUAGCCCAGAGGGUGACGGUACCUCCAGAAGAAGCCCCGGCUAACUACGUGCCAGCAGCCGCGGUA
rnacentral:rRNA from 1 species